GCUGGGAAGUAAACACUUUAUUGGAAAUACGAAAGGGAAAAUAAAGCAUAACAAAUAUAAUAAAGCAUAGCAAAUAUAAUGUGGAUAAAACAAAAUCAAAUGUUCAGAUGUAGGAAAAUAAUCCAUAGAAACAUAGUACUCCUCCUUCACUGGUUUCAUACAUGACCAAUAACCAGUUUUGCCUGAUACAGAUGACAUGAGACAGCACCAGGAGUGUCACUGAGAUGGAAGGUGACAGCUUUUGGAAAUAUUUACUGUGGUUUGCCAACAAGAAACACCCCACUGUUUUCCUAAAACUCACGGAGUUCAAGGUCGGCCUGUUGUGCUUGAAAGAACGCUUGGUAGAAAUCCCUGCUUGUUAGCUGACACAAAAGACAGACAUUUUCAAACGAGAAGGAGACAUGCAACUGGGCAUUGCUCAUCUACUUUGAUAGACAUUCAGGAAAACAACAUUGCCCAGCAUGUAGAAAUAAAGCCUGCUUGACUUUUACCAUUGGAGUCCUCAGCGUUUGACAUUUUUAAAGUAGUUCAGCAUCUUAGCCAGGUCAGUCAGAGAAUAAACCCAUGGGCACAGAAAUCCAGAAAGCCUUGUUGGUGGCUAUUUUUAAAAAUCAUGGGUUUAUUUAUUUAUUUAUAGAGAUGAGGGUCUUGCUAUGUUGCUCACACUGGUCUCAAACUCCUGGCCUUAAGUGAUCCUCCUGCCUUGGCCUCCCAAAGUGCUGGGAUUAUAGGCAUGAGCCACCACACCUGGGCUCAAAAUCAUGAGUUAAAAAUAAUUCAGGUAGUUCUGAGAAAAUGGGCUGACUGCUGGCAGGAAGGGCUGAGAGCGAAGGCAGUGUUGCUCAAAGCAGCCAGUGGAUGCUGGGCUGCCAAGCUCAAGAACAUCCACCCAGGACAUCUGUUGAAGGGUCCAAGUCGUGAAUGUGGUUGCAUGGGCCAGCAACUGCCCAGGAAGAGCCACAGCCUGACCUUCAGGAGAAUCAGGAAGGUGGGGUGUGCUGUGAACAAGGCAGGCAGUGAGGAAAGCAGAGCUCACCAGGGCCCAGGGCCUUCCUUAGAGGGGCCCUCUGCACCUCACCUACGAAACAUGUAAUUUCCCACAUGCUGUUGGAACUCAGCGGUCGUCCUGUGCCCAGGAAAGGAUAGUUUUCACUGGUACCACAUCCCCUUCCUUCUCUGUUAGAGGCUGAAUUGUGUCUCCCCAGAAUUAAAGUGUUGGAGCCCUGACUCCUAGGACCUGAGGAUGUGAUUGUAUUUGAGAUAGGGCCUUCAUAGAGAGGAUUAAGUUAAAAUUAGGCCGUUCAAAUGGGCUCCAAUGCAACCUGACAAGUGCCCUAAGAGGAGGAAAUUGGAUUAAUAGAGAGCCACUGGGGUUGUGUGUGCACACAGGGAUGGCCAUGUGCAGAGAUGGCCCAAGGGCAGCCACCUGCAAGCCAAGGAGAGAGGCCUCAGGGGACACCAGCCCUGCUGGCACUUUGAUCUUGGACUUCCAGCCUCUUGAACUGUGAGAAAACAAAUUUCUGUUGUCUAAAUCAUCAGAAUCACCAGUCUGUGAUACUUUCUACGGCAGCCCUGGCAAACUAACACAUUCUCUUUUUAAGAGCCUUUAUUUCCUUCUCUUUCUCCCUUCUGUUUAUUGUCUUCCGUAUGAGGAUACAAUUUAAAGAAAAUAUCUCAAAUUUGCUUAUACUAAAUUAUAAAUCAUCUUGAAAUGUCCCCUUUCCCUGAGCUAUGCUGCUUGAAUUAAAUUAAAACAAUCCCUGCCAUGAUGCUCAGGAGUGAAGAAGAUGUAAGUGAGUGGCCUGGAUGUGGGAUGCCAGAGCCCUUAUUUAAAAUCUUCCCCUAUUGUUGAAAAACUCCAGUGGCCCCCAAUCUCUCCCCUCAUCUUCAUUACAAGGAAUCUUCAGCAGAAAAUAAAGGAAAUGAUGCAUUUCAAGGUCCAAGGAACCUCGACUCAGGCAGUUUGAAAUAU
rnacentral:lncRNA from 1 species